CCUGGCUCAGGAUGAACGCUAGCUACAGGCUUAACACAUGCAAGUCGAGGGGCAUCGGGAAGUUGCUGCAAUCUUGCCGGCGACCGGCGCACGGGUGAGUAACGCGUAUCCAACCUGGCCCUUAGUAGGGGAUAGCCCGGCGAAAGUCGGAUUAAUACCCUAUGUUUUCCCAUGAGAGCAUUUGAAUGGGAACAAAGGUUUACCGCUAUGGGAUGGGGAUGCGUCCGAUUAGCUUGCCGGCGGGGUAACGGCCCACCGGGGCAUCGAUCGGUAGGGGUUCUGAGAGGAAGGUCCCCCACAUUGGAACUGAGACACGGUCCAAACUCCUACGGGAGGCAGCAGUGAGGAAUAUUGGUCAAUGGGCGUUAGCCUGAACCAGCCAAAGUAGCGUGAGGGAUGACGGCCCUACGGGUUGUAAACCUCUUUUGCGGGGGAAUAAAGUUCGGCACGCGUGCCGUUUUGCAUGUACCCUGAGAAUAAGGACCGGCUAAUUCCGUGCCAGCAGCGGC
rnacentral:rRNA from 1 species